rnacentral:lncRNA from 1 species
CUUUUUCAGCUUUGCCACUAUUGCUUUCGCUUGUUGUUUGGUGUCGUUCAAUCUGAUAUGCAUUUUGUGCAGAUCCUCCAAUGCUUUUUCCUUGUCCCUCUUGAAUUCAUCACACAUAUGCUUUAUAAAACGCUCUGAUAUCUCAAUUAUACCAUAUUCCCGUUCUUUCAAGGCUAGCUCAGUUUUGGCCGCUACUAGUUCUCUCCUUUGUUUUAAUAACAACUCUUCACAUACUUCAUUGUUUUCCACACUAUCUUGCUUGAGAUUCGCAUAAUUAUGUUGUAGGUUCUGAAGGCUACUAGUCAACUUGAUGUUUUCUAGCUUCAUCCGCUCUAAUUCGGUCUUCAACAGUUGCACCUCCUCGUCUUCAGUCUUAUGAAGAUACUCAUCACAAUCCAGG